UACGAAGGGGGCUAGCGUUGCUCGGAAUCACUGGGCGUAAAGGGUGCGUAGGCGGGUUUUUAAGUCAGGGGUGAAAUCUUGGAGCUCAACUCCAGAACUGCCUUUGAUACUGAAGAUCUUGAGUCCGGGAGAGGUGAGUGGAACUGCGAGUGUAGAGGUGAAAUUCGUAGAUAUUCGCAAGAACACCAGUGGCGAAGGCGGCUCACUGGCCCGGUACUGACGCUGAGGCACGAAAGCGUGGGGAGCAAACAGG
rnacentral:rRNA from 1 species